rnacentral:rRNA from 1 species
AAUGGCCGCAGUAUUUUGACUGUGCAAAGGUAGCAUAAUCAUUAGUUUCUUAAUUAGAAGCUGGUAUGAAGGGUUUAAUGAGAAAUUAACUGUCUCUUGAGGAUGUGUUCUAGAAUUUUCUUUUUUAGUAAAAAAGCUUAAAUUUUUUACGAGGACGAGAAGACCCUAUAGAGUUCUAUAUGACCUGAGUAUUAAUUUAAAGGUUUAUUAAUGAUUAAUACCGAAGGUAGUAUUUUGUUGGGGUGACAUGAAAAUUUAAUUAACUUUUCAUUAUUUUAACACUAAUUAGUGAUUUCUUGAUCCUGAUUUCUUUGGACUAAAAGACUAAAUUACCUUAGGGAUAACAGCGUAAUUUUUUUUGAAAGUUCUUAUUGAUAAAAAAGUUGCGACCUCGAUGUUGGAUUAAAAUUUAUCUUCGGUGUAGCAGCUAAAAUAUAG